UGCUGAGUCUGUUUUGAAAAUUUCUUCUUUCAUCGUUCAUAUGCUUGCGAUCUCCAGUUCCACCAAAGACCUAACUCCUACAUCCAACCGGCGACGACAACGAUCAUCGAUAACGGCUGCGAGCCCUAAUCUCACCUCCGGCGACGACGGCAAUAAUCAACAACGAUUUUACACUUGUUGAAGGGGCACACUUAAUAUUCUAGUGGAUUGCUCGGCGUAGGAAUCGAGCAAGGGAGAGAGAUGCCUCACAGAACUCGGCAAAUGACGGGGCUACUAGUAUUCAUGGGAGUGAAUUUGGUGCUGGCCUCUACGAUCACUCCGGUCUAUGAUUUUGUCUGCUUUCAUCCCUAUUGGGAGAGAAGAAGAGAGCGGCUCAGGAAGGAGCGUGAAGCUGUUAUUGUAAAGAAUUCUUAAUCUACUUGAAUAUUGUAUUUAUCAGGUUUGCUAAUGUGUCUGUAAAGGGACUAAAAGAAUCAUAAGGCCUUCAAGCCUUCCAAGUUCCAACUUUGUCUCCACUACAGUAUAUUGAUAUCUCAGUGUCAUCAAGAUGAGUGAAAUCUGUAUGCUGGUUUUUAGAUUCUCUUGGAAAAAGCCUUUCAUAGGGAACUAGUUAGGGAGCCCAUGCGUUGCACUGGCGUUUAAACCAUAUGGUUGUCCCAUAUUGAAGUUUCUAUUAAGCCCUCAAUUGACAUAAUUUGUUUCAAAUAGAUCUCUCCAAUUGUUAAUUCUGCUCUUGAUCUGAAGGAUUAAUUUUCAAUAUAACUUGAGAAUUUUAA